CUGGGGCCUUCCUACCCCAACCUGUGAACUAGGGACUCUAUUUCAACUCUGUCAGAGUCUUUUUUUCUGUGCUGGGCUAUCUUCAGGCUUGUCCUGCUGCUUGAGGGUCCCAGCCUGGUGCAAGCAGCUGACUUUGCCUCACUAGGGCCUGGCUUGUCCCCUUGGCAUGUCAAGGGACACUGAGGGAGCCUCUGGCCAUCCCAGCACUGCUCAGACUCAGCUUUCAUUUGGAGGAAGGAGAAGUUUCACAGCUAUGAGGAAACAGUUACAGAGACAAAGCUUGCUGAAAUGAAAACGAACUAAUUACCAUGGAACAUGGUUUUUCUACAAGUCAUUUGGGUGCGAGAGUUAACCAGCUCUUGGCUUUGGGGCCUCUGGUUCUUGCGGCUUUCUGACAGUGUUUUGUGGAGUGAGUGGAUAACCCGUCCUGAAGCCACUUCAGAUGAGCAGGUACAACAAAAGGAAAAAAUGAAGGCCCAGUCUUCUUGGAGGCUAAAUGCCUUGGUGUUCAGUGCUCUGUUGGUAUUAAAUAUGUCUGUCUGCCCUCAAGCCAGCUGUGGUCCCAGAGCUACCUGCCUGAAAGGCUCCUGCCAAAUUGAAAUUGGCAACAACUUCCCCAACAUGUGGACAGGAACUCAUUGCUUAUUUUUCCUGAUGGAUUUUUCUUUUAUUAAAUUGGAUAUGUAAUGAUAAAUAGAAUAUAUUCUGUUUGAGAGGUGGGCGGGAAGUGGGGAAAAUGACUCCAGGAUCUAGGGAUCCUGAAA
rnacentral:lncRNA from 1 species